AAUAUUGGACAAUGGGGGCAACCCUGAUCUAGCCAUGCCGCGUGUGUGAAGAAGGUCUUCGGAUUGUAAAGAACUUUAAGUUGGGAGGUGGGGCUUUAGGUUAAUACCCUGAAGUUAUGACGUUACCAACAGAAUAAGCAACGGCUAACUCAGUGCCAGCAGCCGCGGUAAUAGAGAGGGGGCGAGCGUUAAUGCGAAUGACUGGGCGUAAAGCCCGCGUAGGUGGUUCAGGAAGAUGGGUAGGAAAUCCCCGGGCUUAACCUGGGAACUGCUUUCAUAACUGCUGAGCUAGAGUACGGUAGAGGGUAGUGGAAUUUCCUGUGUAGCGGUGAAAUGCGUAGAUAUAGGAAGGAACACCAGUGGCGAAGGCGACUACCUGGACUGAUACUGACACUGAGGUGCGAAAGCGUGGGGAGCAAACA
rnacentral:rRNA from 1 species